CAGCAAGGACUAGGGACCCAAGA
rnacentral:miRNA from 1 species